rnacentral:rRNA from 1 species
UACGUAGGGUGCAAGCGUUGUCCGGAAUUAUUGGGCGUAAAGAGCUCGUAGGCGGUCUGUCGCGUCUGCUGUGAAAACUCGGGGGCUUAACCCCGGGCCUGCAGUGGGUACGGGCAGACUAGAGUGCGGUAGGGGAGACUGGAAUUCCUGGUGUAGCGGUGAAAUGCGCAGAUAUCAGGAGGAACACCAGUGGCGAAGGCGGCUCACUGGCCCCGGUACUGACGCUGAGGUGCGAAAAGCGUGGGGGAGCAAACAGG